ACUUAAAUUGAUCGGAUGAUUGGAGCUGUUUGAACACUAUAGGUAGAAUCAACCGUUUAUUAGUGAUGAUUGAUCAGGUGCUAAAUAAUGAAAACUUAUUAUAAUCAACAGAAUUAGUUUCGUUAACAUUUGGAUUCAGUUAUUAUUUUUAAUGUAGAAGGAUUUACUUGAAACGUACAGUAGAAAAAUGAAGAACAAUUGUGGCGAUUUUGUUUACGUAUGACGUAUAUUGUUUGCACUGCAUCGUACAACCUACAAACAUUUUGUCCUAGAAAAUGCGAGUAACAGUUUGUAGAAAACAAUUAGACUAUAGCUACACUCAUUGUAUAUUUAUAAAGAAAGCUAACAGGACCAAAAACAGGACAGCUUAGUCUUUACUUCAACAUAGACAUAAUACCAUUGUUUAUACUUACUUUUAUAGCAUAGAAAAAUUAUGUAGAGCAGACCCUAUAAGCAUUAAGUAUUUUUUAAAUUCAUAAAUGUUAAAGUCAAUGUUUAAACUAUGCUUACAAUGUUUAUGUUUCACUUUUAUCAAACAACUCGAGAAUCCAAAACAGCAUUUCAACUUUGUAAGUACCUUUCAGGGAACAUUCUCAAAUUUAGUAUUUGACAUCAUGUAUUGCAAUGUAACAAAUAAGGUUUGCAGGACAUUUAUUACUAGAAAAGACAAGAAAGCCACUAAACAUAGAAAUAAACCAAAUAUAAAAGGAGCAUAAACUAGCUUCCCUCCUUACCGAUCAAGCCAGAGACAUUUUGCGAUGCUACAAGAAUACGUUAUGAGGCCAAACAGCUAUAUAAUGGGUCAUCCCAUAGUUCUGUUGAUGACAAGUCUAUUCCAAGUGCCUUUUCAAUGAAAACACACAGCAUCGUACAACCUAUAUACCUUUUGUCUUCGAAAAUGUGAGAGGCAGUUUGUAGAAAACUAUUACACUAUAGCCACACUCAUUGGAUGUUUGUAAGGAGAGCUUACAGGACCAAAACAAGACAGGCUGAUGUUCAUUUUUAUCAAUUAACUUCAGAAUGCAAAACAGCGUUUCAACUUUGCAAGGUUUCCAGUGCAUUAAUUACUGGAAAAGAUAGGAAAGCAACUAAACAUAGAAACUAACCAUAUAUUAAAGGAGCAUAAAUUAGUUUCCCUACCUAUCAAGCCAGAAACAUUCCGCGAUGCUUCAAGAACACGUUAUGAGGCAAAACAGCUAUAUGAUGGGUCAUCCUAUAAUUCUGUUGAUGAGAAGUCUAUUCCAAGUGCCUUUUCAAUGAAAACACACAGCAUCGUAAAACGUAUAUACCUUUUUUCUUCGAAAAUAUGAGUGGCAGUUUGUAGAAAACGAUUACACUAUAGCUAUACUCAUUGGAUAUUUGUAAGGAAAGCUGACAGGACCAAAACAAGACAGG